rnacentral:lncRNA from 1 species
GGGGCCUCGUAGGGACAGGGAUGAUAGGAGAGCCAAAGGAGGGCACAGCAGGAAGGUUCAGAGGACAGGUGCUGGUGGGAUGGGGACCAGGACCCCAGCAAGGAGCCCAGGCUAGGGACCUAGAGGAGGGCCCACGCCAGGGGAGAGCAGCAGAGGCUGGAGCCAGGCAUGUGGGCAGCACUAGUGGACUGUAGUGCAGGGAAACCAAGGGGAGCAGAGAAGCAGCCUAAGCAAGGGGCCCUCAAUCAACGCCCAGGGAUGCACUGAGCAACAAGGGCCACCAGAGGCUCAAGCGAGUAGCCAGGCCAGGGAAUGGAGAGCCCAGGGCUGGGGCUGGGGCAGGGGGCUCAGGACAGUGACAGGGCUGGGGAAGGAAGGCAGGGGAUCUGGAAGUAGGGAGGCAGGCUCCAGGCCACUGCCAGUAUCAGGGUUCUGGGUGCAGGACCAAGGGCCCAGGAAGACUAAGGGGCCCAGGUAAGG